CCGAACGGAGAGCCCAACGCGUUCGGGAGUUGUAACAGAAAAACAUGAGGAAACGAAAAACCACACACGAAAAGGGGGGAAUAGAUCCAGAGCGUUACGACGCCGUGGCGCAACGGUAGGGUAAGUAACUCACGACAGUAGAAAAGUAAAACCGGACGAACCAGCCAACCGGAGCAGACCCCAGAAUGGACGAAAACAGCGGGGGAAGAGUAGGCCAGGUAAGAAGCACCACGAGGAACCUGGCAAGGAAGAGAUGGCAACUGGACGUAGCGACAUGCAAGUCGCUAGAAAAACGUAUGGGACGGAGGAAGGUGAGUAGGGGGGUUUAAAUAGGGUAACAUGCCCCUCCCACAACUGCAGGCCAAGCCUUUACAUUUGUGUUUUUUCCUGCCGAUGGAGAGAUGUGUGUGUGUGUAUGUAUGUAUGUAUGUAUAUGUGUAUAUAUAUAUAUACAUAUAUAUAUAUAUGUAUAUGUAUGUGUAUAUAUAUAUAUGUGUGUGUAUAUAUAUAUAUAUAUGUAUGUGUAUAUAUAUAUGUAUGUGUAUAUAUAUAUAUAUAUAUAUAUAUAUAUAUAUGUAUGUGUAUAUAUAUGUAUGUGUAUGUGUAUAUAUAUGUAUGUAUGUGUAUAUAUAUAUAUAAACAUUAAUAAUUUUUUUGGGGUGGGGGGAGAUAUUUUUUACUUGAAAAAUAACGCAUACGGUGCUUGAUGUAUCAUUUACCCAAAAAUGUAACUUUGGUCAACUUAUUUACUUAUAUACUUUAUGUAAGUGAAAUGCAGUCACUAAUAUCUGCAUUGUUUCUUUCUCUUAGGGCGUGGAAGAUGCUUUUUAUACACUGGUAAGAGAGAUCCGGCAGCAUAAGUUACGGAAACUGAACCCUCCAGAUGAAAGUGAAAAGGGGUGUCUGAACUGCAAAUGUGUUGUAUCUUGACUAAGGUAACUGUAACAUUUCACCUUUGUAUAUUAUCUCUGUAGUGAUAGAAAAUUGCCACAUGGGGGAGCUAUGUGCAUGCUGGUACUUACAGCAAAUGCUGACUAAAGCAUUAAUGAUACAAAACAAACAUGCCAAAAUUACAUUUACUACUUUUGAGCUGGUGAACUAAUCUUCAACUACAGAAAAAAACCUAACUAAAAACUUAUCCAUUUUUAUUUAAAAAAAAAAAAAAAAAAAUUUAAGUAGACUUGGCAUUUGGAAUAUUAAAAAUCCACUUACAUUGCAGAAAUGUUGUAGCUAAUGACAGUAGGCAUGUUUUUUUAUUUUUUUAUCAACACUACCCCUCCAGUCAGGUUAUACCUGACUGAGCACUUGGGUAAAAUUACAAUUGCCCAUGUCACCCCUUCUGACAUUACAGCUGCUGUUUUCCAUUCGGUUUGAAACGGCAAAACAUAUGAAAUACAAUUAUUAAAAGCCUGUUUUGUUGACAUUUCAUCUCUUUGAAUUGUUAAUAGUGAUUUUCUACCUGUGCAAUUCUACCAUUUUCUGUGCAAUUCUACCAUUCAGGGUUAAACCAAUUUCAAGCAGGGCACUCCAGGUACUAUAACUACUUCAAUGAGAGGAAACUGUUAUAGUGCCUACAGUGUCCCCUUCAGUGUGAAUGGCUGACUUUUUAUGUAGGGAGAAGUAGUCCUCUGCCACAUCAAAGCAAAACCUCUAAGAGCAAACUCAGAGCACCCAUAACAACUACACUGAGAUGUAGUGGUUAUGGUAAUUUGAGAUUUUGUUUAAACCUAGGCUUUGACAAACAAAGUAAAUAAUUUAGCCCAAAAAUAGCUUACCUGGAAGAUAACUGCUGGCAAUUUGUUUCAGUGCAUUUAUUUUGUCCUAAAAUUAGCAAUUCUCUCGUUCUUGGUUUUAGUGUAUGUACUCCUACGUGCUUUUGAAUAAUUUUAAAUGUGCAUUUGGUUUUUUCAUUUUCCUAGAUGACAUAAAUUCAUCUUCCUAAUAUAUAUAUAUAUAUAUAUAUAUUUUAUUUUUUUAUUUUUAAACACUCUCAAACACAGAUCAAAUCUUGGCAGAACCAUCUUUUUGUUGAUUUAUGGAUCUCUAUAUUAUGAGUCUAAAUGCAUUUUUUUAAUAUAGUGUGUAACAUAAUACUGCAAUUGCGGGGGUCUUUAUUUUUUAAUUUCUAACAUUUUGAUUGCUUAUUUUUUAUUUAUUUUUUUUAAUCUGUCCUAGAUAAUUUUUUUCUUUCUCAUUUUGCAGGGUCACAGGUCAAGCUUGACCUUGACAGUAUUUUUCUGCUGUUAUCAACUCCAUUCAUGGCAGAAACCCAAGUGGAUAUGAAAUAGAAGAUACAACAAGACUGUGAUCUGUAGGGAGUAGCUCCUCCCAAGCAUCGCGCCAGAACAGCCUGGGACUUAUGUGUCGAUAUCCAGUCAUUUCAAUAGUUCUCUGGGUAUGUCAACUCUCCGCCAGGACUGAUAUUCUGCCAGCAAACGGGUUAAUGAUUAUACAUUCGUUGAACACCUCUCCCUCUCAUAGAACAAAAUAGCGUUGAUAGCUGUUAAAUGUUAACAUGGCCACACUGGUUGACUUGUAUCCGAAAUUGAACUUUGCAGAAAUUAAAUCGACAAGAAACACCUUACAUUUCUCACACAAAGUAAACAUUUUCUGGAAUCACAUGGAUCUUUUCAAAAGAACUAUGGUCAAUAAUGUUCAGUUCAUUUGCUUUGUCACCGUGUGUGUUUUAGCUAAAGAUCUUCAAAAGCAUAUUGCAAACUUUGUUGAGCUAUAUUUAGCCAACAUUUUGCAAUCUAAGGUACGUAUUUCUUUGGAGUGAGACUCUUUUUAGGUCAAGUUAAGCAACAUGGGCAUGAUCAUGUACAAAAGUAUUUAUACAUUUCAAGUUUCAUUUGUAAAACCGUAACGCUUAGUAGAUCUCCUUUUCAAGGUCUCUUUAAGAUGUUAUGACAAGAAAAGAAAGACAAAUGUUACCUCAUGUCUCUGGAUCACUAAACUUUUCUAGACCAAAAACCUCUUUUGGAUUUUGUUUUUUUUUCCUAGUGUCAUUCCAUAGAGCUCUAUUAACUUUUAAUGAACCCCUAAAAUUGUUACAGUAAUAAAACAUGAACAAUUCACUUUUAGUCAUACUUUUGUUUUUGUCGAAAGAACAAAUCUACAAUCUAUUGGCCAAAGCGAAGUCUGAAGAAUUUGGAUCUCUUAAAUUUAUGUUGUUUACCAUUGCAGCCCCUAAACAAUGUACUAUUUUAAAAAAAAAAAAUUUUAAUGCAUUUUUAAGUGGAUGUCACCUUGAAAAUGAAAAAAGAUUACGUGCCAAUUAGGUGAAUAAUGGCAGUGGAUUUGUGUAUAGAACAAAACUUUAACGGUUCCCUCAAUCACCAUGCCUAGAAAAUAGUGUUUUGCAAGCAGUUAGCAGUCGUGCCCAGAAUUUGGUUAAACGUCUUGGUUCACACAGUUUUUUUUUUAAAUUGACCGUGAGAGAAUAUAUAAAUGAUACACGGUUUAACAGAUUAUUCUAUGCAACUGAUUCUGUUUUCAGAUUAAUGUUGGACAUAGAAUGUUUUAUAGUGUUUGGGAUCUACAGCUGAUCGGAACUUUAGAACCAGCUGCAUAGCUUGGCAAGGCAUUAAAUGGUUUUCAAGCAAGCUACUUUGACUACUCUAUUUUAGUGUAGACUGCAUUUUUAUAUCUCAUAAUGUGCUCUUUGAACUUCUCGAGACGCUAAAGGCCUACUAAAGUAGUAUGGAUUCAGUGGACCUUUAGUUUUAAUCAUGCAAUCUAAAACAUUGCCAUGUAGUAGAUAUAUAAAUGUUAUGAUUGCAGGGUUGAUGCACCUCGAGUGGCUGUCUUCCCGAUAGCCAUUAGAGACGCUUCUCUGGUGAGAAACAAGUCUGAUUUGGUUCUCAAUCAAAUGCUCCUCAUCGGGAGAAUGAGACUGGCGCAGAGUGUUGAUUUGCUGAAAAUACACACUAGCCUCCCAAUGUUUCCCUAUAGGGAAGCAUUGAAUUGGCUGAGAUCAUCAAUCUUGAUGAUCUCAGCCAGGAAGAUGGGGCAGCAGCAUGUUGACCAGCACAGUGAGAGCUGAAAGAUGGAUAAAUAUCCUUUAUUAAAAUUUAUUGCAAACGGGAGUGGGGGCGAACACCUAAACAUUUAGCAGGACACUAGCUUUAAGAAUGUCUUUGUAUUCCUAACGCCAUAGAGUUCCUUUAACUUAUUAUGUAAAAAAAAAUGCAAUACUUGAGUUUACAGGUCUGAGGUAAUUGCCAUUGAUUGCAGAGUGGUUUGUCUGCAUGUUUUCACACUAAUCACAUGAAAUAAGUAGUUGCUAGUCUAUACCACACAGUAUUUAUUUAAAGGAACACUCCAAACACCUAAAGCUCUUUAUCUUGCUGAAGUGCUUGAUGUGUGAAGUGUUUUUGUAAAAAAAAAAAGUACACAUUUCAAUAGAAAUUGACAUUUUCAUAAAUUAACCUUGUUACGCCCCCUGUUACUUCCUCGUUGUUAAGCUCAAUGGAGUCAAGCUCAAGAGCAGCAAUUGUCUCAUUGAGCUGUUUUGGGAAGUCUGUGAUUGGACAGCCACAAAGUGUGGGUGGGGGAAGAAGGGUAGGGCUUGCAAAGGCAGCAGACAAGAGAUAAACCCCCAUGGAAAAAUACAUAACUAAACACACCCGUGUUUUUUUUUUUAUUUUGGGUAUAUAUACUAUAUAGUUUUUUUUGUUUUUUUAAUAUAAUUUUUUUUUUGUAUUGUCUCUGGGAUAGCAACAUAAGCUUUGUUACCUCAACAUCUAUUUAGGUGAAAAAGUUGGGACACUUGAUUUGUGAAUGACCUGUGUAAUUGUAUUAGAUUACAAGAUGAUUUAUUUGGAACCUUAAUAGAUAAUUUGAAGUAUAAUACGAAGAUAUUGGCAUUAUAGGAAACAAAAAAGCACACCAACUCUGCCCCUUCCUAUCAAAGGUAGAGGGCAAACCCAGGAACUGGAUAAACACUGUAAGUUGUUAGGUAUGUUUGCACUACAUGAUGCAUAUAAGGAGGUAGAAACCGUUGUUCUCAAAGCAUAAAGGCAUGAAGAAUCUAAUCGGUCUAAACAUUGGUCUCUUCUAAAGUGCUAUUCUGCAUUGAUGUAAAAACAACAACAAAAAAACAUUUUUUUUUUACUGGGUGUACUCCAUAUGCUAAAGGAUGCUGUUGGAGACAGUCCGUUACCACAUUUUCCAUCUAAACUAUCCAAUUAGGUAUGUUUUAAUGUAAUGAAUUUAUUAAAGUUUUAGCUUUUGCAUGCCAUACAUGUUACAAUCAAAUUAAAAUAAGAUGUUUUCCUGCACAGGAAUAUACAGUGCAAAUUGUGUGUGUGUGUGUGUAUGUAUGUAUAUGUGUGUGAGAUAUAUGCACACACAUAUUUGAAAGUCGUAAUCUAAUGUAUCAUUAACCCUUUUGCUGCAAUGAUGUCCUGAAUGGAAAACGGUGUAUAUUUCUCUUGUAUUCUCUUUAAAUGAACACCAUUAUUUUAAAACCAGUAUGUACAUUGUAUGCAUAUUCUGACAACAAUUCUGGAUUGUACUGAGUUCCUGAGAAGAAAAACAAAAUUUCAGUUUAUUUAUUGUACAUAUUAGACCCGGCAGAUUUGCAAAUAAAGUUCUAGUUACUGAACACAA